ensembl:snoRNA
UUGCACAUUUCAUUGACCUGCUUUCUUUGAAUAUGUGAGCAGUGUUAUUUCUUAUGUGCUAUAUAAAUACUUGAAGGCUAAUUAGCAGAGUAACUGUAUAUAGUAAUGCUGCCAGUCUCCUUCAGACAAAA